AGUGAACGCUGGCGGUAGGCCUAACACAUGCAAGUCGAACGGCAGCACAGUAAGAGCUUGCUCUUACGGGUGGCGAGUGGCGGACGGGUGAGGAAUACAUCGGAAUCUACUUUUUCGUGGGGGAUCACGUAGGGAAACUUACGCUAAUACCGCAUACGACCUACGGGUGAAGGCAGUGGAUCUUCGGACCUUGCGCGAUUGAACGAGCCGAUGCCGGAUUAGCUAGUUGGCGGGGUAAAUGCCAACCAAGGCGAGGAUCCGUAGCUGGUCUGAGAGGAUGAUCGGCCACCCUGGAACUGAGACACGGUCCAGACUCCUACGGGAGGCAGCAGUGGGGAAUAUUGGACAAUGGGCGCAAGCCUGAUCCAGCCAUACCGCGUGGGUGAAGAAGGCCUUCGGGUUGUAAAGCCCUUUUGUUGGGAAAGAAAAGCAGCAGGUUAAUACCCCGCUGUUCUGACGGUACCCAAUGAAUAAGCACCGGCUAACUUCGUG
rnacentral:rRNA from 1 species